UUCACAACUGAACAACCCCAGUAAAGGUGAAGAAGAAAGAGAGCGCCAGCAAUACAAACUAAAAAUGAACGAUAAGAAUGUAUAAUGGCGUUGUUCCCCCCUAAACCUCUUUUAAACGAAGGCCCUUUACCGGGCGAGGUGAAGAAAACGGCUCGUAGUUCGUCAUUUCGGGUCACUUGGAGCACUUCUCCGGUGAGGUUCAACCACCUGCCAGCCACCGGUGGAACUCUGCGGAAGUCUAGAAUCCUAAAAGACGAGAAGGGAAUCACAAUGUUACCCAGGUGUACACCAAGGGUCUGAUUUACUAAAGAUUUGAGAGUACCAGUGACGUGCGGUAAACUAAACACCAGUCAAUGAAGCGGUCCUUUGGUCGCCAGCCUCCAGAAGAUGACCUCUCAAUCAUGACUCGCUAUGGCAACGACCCCCAGGGACGAGCAGGGGCCGACAGCCAGGAUGUCAGAUUUGUGCACCGAGGUGGAUUUCCACAAAAUGUCGGCUCUCACCAACACAUCCUACGCAAAUGUAAGUAUUGAAACUAAGACGACAGUUCAUAGAAGCAAAUAAUGCAUGAUUUAUAAUAUCGAUUCACAUUCAAACAACAAUUUUUAUUUAUUCCGAAUUUUUGAGCAUCAAUUAAAAAAAAUA